GGGCCUCCCUACUAUUCUGCAAGACCCCCUCUGCCACUCCUUGAGCCUCUCGGUGGUCCCAGAUAUGCUCCAUCUAACAUCAACUGCUCUUUUAUCAAGAUCAGCAUACGCUGCCAAAUGCUGUCUAAAACAUGUCAUCAGGUCUUUUCUGCUGUGUUCUGUGGUAAGUUUGCCUCUAUCGUCUUGUAUUGUUCUGUGUGAUUAACACUGAAGUGUCCAUUGGUUGCUCUUCUUUUAACUGUAUCACCUUAGUAGCCACUGUAUUUGCUAGCUCAGGUGUUGCUGGAAACCUAAGUGUCAUGACUUGUAGUAGUGAUUUAUUUCCUUCAUAUCUUAGCUUGAAGCAUGCAGGAUGGGGAUGGGACAGGAAGUAUCCCCCAUAUCUUGGCACUUCAGUCCCUUGUCUCCAAUUCCAUAAAAGUUUACUCCUGGCUCAGGUAACCCUGGGAUUGGCACCCAGCCCUCGGCCUACCCCACUCACUCAAUUGUAACCUUGUUAUCAACACAUCCCACUUAAGUGGGUCAGACAGGACUGCAUACUGAGGGAGAAGUGCUGAGAUCAGGGGAACACAGAGAGCAACAAAGGCAGAGGUGGGGUUUGGGGGGACCUUUGAGCCAAAGGACUGGACACCACAGGACUGAGGAAUAAGCAAGGGAGAGGGGGUUCCAAAGUGGGACUCAGGCCCAGGGCUUGAGGCAGGCCAGAGUGGGGGACACCCAGUCCAUCUUACCUACUCCACCGUUACUUGGGUGUUUACCACUAGUAGCAUAUCAGCUUCCAAAAGAAGAUGAUGUAUACUUCCACACAGUCUAGUUUCAAACAAAAAAAUCUAGACCUGUAGCAUGGAAAGUUCUGUUAAAGUGAAAGAUGGUCAGUUUGGCCAGAAAGCACAUAGAUAGAAGAUUCUUUUUUUUUUUUAUU